AUACGGAGGGUGCAAGCGUUACUCGGAAUCACUGGGCGUAAAGCGCGCGCAGGCGGCUAUUGAAGCUGGAUGUGAAAGCCUACGGCUCAACCGUAGAACUGCAUCCAAAACUAUUUAGCUAGAGUGUGGGAGAGGAAGAUGGAAUUAGUUGUGUAGGGGUAAAAUCCGUAGAGAUAACUAGGAAUACCAAAAGCGAAGGCAAUCUUCUGGAACACUACUGACGCUGAGGCGCGAAAGCGUGGGGAGCAAACAGGAUUAGAAACCCGAGUAGUCC
rnacentral:rRNA from 1 species